rnacentral:rRNA from 1 species
GAUGAACGCUGACAGAAUGCUUAACACAUGCAAGUCAACUUGAAUUUGGGUUUUUAACUUAGGUUUGGGUGGCGGACGGGUGAGUAACGCGUAAAGAACUUGCCUCACAGGUAGGGACAACAUUUGGAAACGAAUGCUAAUACCUAAUAUUAUGAUAAUAGGGCAUCCUAUAAUUAUGAAAGCUAUAAGCGCUGUGAGAGAGCUUGCGUCCCAUUAGCUAGUUGGAGAGGUAACGGCUCACCAAGGCGAUGAUGGGUAGCCGGCCCGAGAGGGUGAUCGGCCACAAGGGGACUGAGACACGGCCCUUACUCCUACGGGAGGCAGCAGUGGGGAAUAUUGGACAAUGGACCGAGAGUCUGAUCCAGCAAUUCUGUGUGCACGAUGAAGUUUUUCGGAAUGUAAAGUGCUUUCAGUUGGGAAGAAACAAAUGACGGUACCAACAGAAGAAGUGACGGCUAAAUACGUGCCAGCAGCCGCGGUAAUACGUAUGUCACGAGCGUUAUCCGGAUUUAUUGGGCGUAAAGCGCGUCUAGGUGGUUAUGUAAGUCUGAUGUGAAAAUGCAGGGCUCAACUCUGUAUUGCGUUGGAAACUGUAUAACUAGAGUACUGGAGAGGUAAGCGGAACUACAAGUGUAGAGGUGAAAUUCGUAGAUAUUUGUAGGAAUGCCGAUGGGGAAGCCAGCUUACUGGACAGAUACUGACGCUGAAGCGCGAAAGCGUGGGUAGCAAACAGG